rnacentral:rRNA from 1 species
GAUAGCGCAUAGUACCGUGAGGGAAAGGUGAAAAGAACCCCUGGAGGGGAGUGAAAUAGAACCUGAAAUUGUGUGCUUACAAGCGGUCAGAGCCCAUUUGGGUGAUGGCGUGCCUUUUGGAGAAUGAUCCUGCGAGUUACGUUAAACGGCGAGGUUAAGUAUAACGAAGCCGAAGGGAAACCAAGUCUUAAUAGGGCGAUUUAGUCGUUUGGCGUAGACGCGAAACCUGGUGAUCUAAACCUGUCCAGGAUGAAGCUGUGGUAAGACACAGUGGAGGUCCUAACCCACCGCCGUUGAAAAGUUGGGGGAUGAGGUAGGUUUAGGGGUGAAAAGCCAAUCGAACCAGGAGAUAGCUCGUUCUCUCCGAAAUGCAUCUAGGUGCAGCCUUGAGUGUUCAAUUAUGGGGGUAGAGCACUGAAUGAUCUAGGGGGCAUAUUGCUUACUGAAAUCAAUCAAACUCCGAAUACCAUAAUUUAUAGCUCAGGAGUGAGACUAUGGGAGUUAACUUCCAUUGUCAAAAGGGAAACAACCCAGACCACCAGCUAAGGUCCCUAAUUAUAACUAAGUGGGAAAGGAGGUGGAGAUUCACAAACAACUAGGAGGUUGGCUUAGAAGCAGCCAUACCUUUAAAGAGUGCGUAAUAGCUCACUAGUCGAGAGUCUCUGCGCCGACAAUGUAACGGGGCUAAGUUAUAAACCGAAGCUGUGGAAUCCUUAUGGAUUGGUAGGAGAGCGUUCUGUAGGCCGUUGAAGAAGAAGGGUAACCAACUUUGGAGGUAUCAGAAGUGAGAAUGCAGGAAUAAGUAGCGAGAAAGGGGGCGAGAAUCCCCCUCGCCGGAAGACCAAGGUUUUCAGGGUAAAGCUUGUCUUCCCUGAGUAAGCCGGGACCUAAGCCCAGGCUAUAAUGCGUAGGCGAAUGGAAAACAGAUUAAUAUUUCUGUGCCAGUCAUUUAUUGUGAUGGAGGGACGCAGAAGGGUAUGUGCGCGGACGAUCGGUUGUGUCCGUAGAAGUAUGUAGGGUGACUUAGUAGGUAAAUCCAUUAAGUUAUAUCUGAGGUAUGAUAUACAGUCGUAAGAUGAAUGCGCAAAUCCCACGCUGCCAAGAAAAGCUUCUAACGUUAAUAUAUGACUGCCCGUACUGUAAACCGACACAGGUGGUCAGGAUGAGAAAUCUAAGGCGGACAGGCUAACUCUCGUUAAGGAACUCUGCAAAAUAACCUCGUAACUUCGGGAGAAAGGAGCCCUUGGGUGUUAGUAUCCAUGCGAUACAAAGCGCUCGAGGGUCGCAGUGAAGAGGCUCAAGCAACUGUUUAACAAAAACACAGGUCUAUGCUAAGCUGUAAGGCGAUGUAUAUGGGCUGACACCUGCCCAGUGCUGGAAGGUUAAGAGGAGGAGUGAGAGCUCCGAAUUGAAGCCCCAGUGAACGGCGGCCGUAACUAUAACGGUCCUAAGGUAGCGAAAUUCCUUGUCGGGUAAGUUCCGACCUGCACGAAUGGUGUAAUGAUUUGAGCGCUGUCUUGACGGGAGGCCUGGUGAAAUUGUAUUACCGGUGAAGAUACCGGUUACCUACAGUAGGACGGAAAGACCCCAUGGAGCUUUACUGUAGCUUGGUAUUGGGUUUUGGCAUUGCAUGUAUAGGAUAGUUGGGAGACUAUGAUGGUAUGGCGCUAGCUGUAUCGGAGUCAUCGGUGGAAUACCAACCAUUCAAUGCUGAAAUUCUAAUCUGUGGUUUGUAGCCACGGAGACAGUGCUAGGUGGGCAGUUUGACUGGGGCGGUCGCCUCCGAAAGAGUAACGGAGGCGUUCAAAGGUUCUCUCAGGUUGGAUGGAAAUCAACCAUAGAGUGCAAUGGCAUAAGAGAGCUUGACUGCAAGACUGACGGGUCGAGCAGAUGCGAAAGCAGGACAUAGUGAUCCGGCGAUUCCGAAUGGAAGGGUCGUCGCUCAACGGAUAAAAGCUACCCUGGGGAUAACAGGCUGAUCCUACCCGAGAGUCCAUAUCGACGGUAGGGUUUGGCACCUCGAUGUCGGCUCAUCGCAUCCUGGGGCUGGAGGAGGUCCCAAGGGUUGGGCUGUUCGCCCAUUAAAGCGGUACGUGAGCUGGGUUCAGAACGUCGUGAGACAGUUCGGUCCCUAUCCACUGUAGGCGUUAGAAUAUUGAGAAGACCUGUCCUUAGUACGAGAGGACCGGGAUGGACAAACCUCUGAUGUACCAGUUGUCACGCCAGUGGCACAGCUGGGUAGUCACGUUUGGAAUAGAUAACCGCUGAAAGCAUCUAAGCGGGAAACUAACUUCAAGAUAAGUAUUCU